rnacentral:lncRNA from 1 species
AGCCUCUCCCCAGGUUCGAGUCUCUCUCUGCCUCUCCGCUGUCCCUCAUCCUUAAGAACUCACACUAGACGCAUUAACUUUACAAGGUGCAUUCUCUCUCUUGUUUUCCCCCUUUUCUCCCUCCUUCCCUCCCUGGAUUUGCUGAGUGCCAGGUACUAUGAUAAGCUUGUUUUUCUACCAGCACUGACAACCCUGGAUGUACUUCCGAGCUUACUUGAAAAUGCACGCAACUCUGAGGAUGUGUUUAAUGCUCCAGUAGGGGCGAGGGGGGCGUCCACCUGUGGCCUGCGAGGCACUCCUGUGUGCAGACAGCUCGAUGGACUGGAACGCGCCCGGACAUCCCCGGAAUCCUCCCUGGGUUCCUGGCAGCUGCUCCUUCUUCACAUGCAGAACUAGGGAUCGAACUCAGGACCUUGCACUUGACAGGGAGCCAUGGCGCCACUGAGCUGCAUCCCCUGCCCUAUGCUUAAUAUUUUUAAAGCUUCUCAUGCAGUCUUGAUCUUCUACUUUUCAAAAGUAGACAAUUACCAAGGCACACUGGGGAAAUAUGACCGGGACUGGGCAGAACUUGCAAAAAUAACUACAAAGCCAGCCCCGAGCAGUCGCUAUUGGUGGGAACAGCGCUGCCACCCCACAAGCAAAGACAUCCAGGCACUUUGUCCCUUGUCACCGCCCCCUCCGCCUGCCAACUUUGAGAGGAUUCAACUACUUGGCUUUGGAAUUAAAAUGCUCAGCCCCAGCCACCCCGAGAAUGCGCCUCGAGCCACCCGGCGCACUAAUGUUGAGCCACGAGAGACGGGCAGGUGCGCGAGACAACAGGCUUCUCGGUAG